AUUGAACGCUGGCGGCAGGCCUAACACAUGCAAGUCGAGCGGAUGAAGGGAGCUUGCUCCUGGAUUCAGCGGCGGACGGGUGAGUAAUGCCUAGGAAUCUGCCUGGUAGUGGGGGAUAACGUCCGGAAACGGGCGCUAAUACCGCAUACGUCCUGAGGGAGAAAGUGGGGGAUCUUCGGACCUCACGCUAUCAGAUGAGCCUAGGUCGGAUUAGCUAGUUGGUGGGGUAAAGGCCUACCAAGGCGACGAUCCGUAACUGGUCUGAGAGGAUGAUCAGUCACACGGGAACUGAGACACGGUCCAGACUCCUAAGGGAGGCAGCAGUGGGGAAUAUUGGACAAUGGGCGAAAGCCUGAUCCAGCCAUGCCGAGUGUGUGAAGAAGGUCUUCGGAUUGUAAAGCACGUUAAGUUGGGAGGAAGGGCAGUAAGUUAAUACCUUGCUGUUUUGACGUUACCAACAGAAUAAGCACCGGCUAACUUCGUG
rnacentral:rRNA from 1 species